CCUACGGGGGGCAGCAGUGAGGAAUAUUGGUCAAUGGCCGGAAGGCUGAACCAGCCAAGCCGCGUGAGGGAGGAAGGCGCAGAGCGUCGCAGACCUCUUUUGCCGGGGGACAAAAGGCCGGACUCGUCCGGUCCUGAGGGUACCCGGAGAAAAAGCAUCGGCAAACUCCGUGCCAGCAGCCGCGGUAAUACGGAGGAUGCGAGCGUUAUCCGGAUUCAUGGGGUUUAAGGGGUGCGUAGGCGGUCCGGAAAGUCAGCGGUAAAAGCCCGGGGCUCAACCCCGGCGAGCCGUUGAAACUGUCGGACUAGAGACGGCGAGAAGUACGCGGAAUGCGCGGUGUAGCGGUGAAAUGCAUAGAUAUCACGCAGAACUCCGAUUGCGAAGGCAGCAUACCGGCGCUCAACUGACGCUCAUGCACGAAAGUGUGGGUAUCGAACAGGAUUAGAUACCCGAGUAGUC
rnacentral:rRNA from 1 species